AAAUUAACAACAGAAUGAAAUACAUGGCUGCGUUGCCGCCGAAGUCGCUCUCAUUGUCCAAGAAAUUAUGUCGCUCAGCUGACCUGAAAAAACUUCACGAUGUGAAUACUAAAGAAUGCGAACUGUUUGCUCAAAGAUGGCUUUCGGAGGAGUGCGCACAAGCAGUGAUGACUUUUUACAACGCAUAUGAAAAAUAUAGUUGAAACAUUAAGUUGAUUCCUGUUUAUGAAAUCUUCGAUGUAUUUUCUUUCUGUGUAUUUUAUUCAGUUUGAUAAAAACCAUUUACA